AGUGAACGCUGGCGGUAGGCCUAACACAUGCAAGUCGAACGGCAGCACAGGAGAGCUUGCUCUCCGGGUGGCGAGUGGCGGACGGGUGAGGAAUACAUCGGAAUCUACCCUGUCGUGGGGGAUAACGUAGGGAAACUUACGCUAAUACCGCAUACGACCUACGGGUGAAAGCAGGGGACCUUCGGGCCUUGCGCGAUUGAAUGAGCCGAUGUCGGAUUAGCUAGUUGGCGGAGUAAAGGCCCACCAAGGCGACGAUCCGUAGCUGGUCUGGGAGGAUGAUCAGCCACACUGGAACUGAGACACGGUCCAGACUCCUACGGGAGGCAGCAGUGGGGAAUAUGGGACAAUGGACGCAAGCCUGAUCCAGCCAUACCGCGUGGGUGAAGAAGGACUUCGGGUUGUAAAGCCCUUUUGUUGGGAAAGAAAUCCAGCUGGCUAAUACCCGGUUGGGAUGACGGUACCCAAAGAAUAAGCACCGGCUAACUUCGUGCCAGCCGCCGCAGUAA
rnacentral:rRNA from 1 species